AGCCCGGUUAGCGCGUGGCGCCUCAGGCGCCAAGGUCGAGAGUUCGAAUCUCUCCACCCCGACCA
rnacentral:tRNA from 1 species